AGCUUUGUGCAGUGGCAGUAUUGAAGCCAAUGAGGUUUAUCCAAGGCGUGAUUAUUGCUAAUUGAAAACUCACUUCG
rnacentral:snRNA from 1 species